UGCAUAGGAAUCUACCUAGUAGUAUGGGAUAGCCACUAGAAAUGGUGGGUAAUACUGUAUAAUCCCUGCGGGGGAAAGAUUUAUCGCUACUAGAUGAGCCUAUGUUAGAUUAGCUAGUUGGUAGGGUAAAGGCCUACCAAGGCGAUGAUCUAUAGCUGGUCUGAGAGGAUGAUCAGCCACACUGGAACUGAGAUACGGUCCAGACUCCUACGGGAGGCAGCAGUGGGGAAUAUUGGACAAUGGGCGCAAGCCUGAUCCAGCUAUGCCGCGUGAGUGAGGAAGGCCUUAGGGUUGUAAAACUCUUUCAGUAGGGAAGAUAAUGACGGUACCUACAGAAGAAGUCCCGGCAAACUCCGUGCCAGCAGCCGCGGUAAUACGGAGGGGGCAAGCGUUGUUCGGAAUUAUUGGGCGUAAAGGGCAUGUAGGCGGUUCGGUAAGUUAAAGGUGAAAUGCCAGGGCUUAACCCUGGAGCUGCUU
rnacentral:rRNA from 1 species